rnacentral:rRNA from 1 species
UGCAGUCGAGCGGAACGAGUUAUCUGAACCUUCGGGGGACGAUAACGGCGUCGAGCGGCGGACGGGUGAGUAAUGCCUAGGAAAUUGCCCUGAUGUGGGGGAUAACCAUUGGAAACGAUGGCUAAUACCGCAUAAUGCCUACGGGCCAAAGAGGGGGACCUUCGGGCCUCUCGCGUCAGGAUAUGCCUAGGUGGGAUUAGCUAGUUGGUGAGGUAAUGGCUCACCAAGGCGACGAUCCCUAGCUGGUCUGAGAGGAUGAUCAGCCACACUGGAACUGAGACACGGUCCAGACUCCUACGGGAGGCAGCAGUGGGGAAUAUUGCACAAUGGGCGCAAGCCUGAUGCAGCCAUGCCGCGUGUGUGAAGAAGGCCUUCGGGUUGUAAAGCACUUUCAGUCGUGAGGAAGGUAGUGUAGUUAAUAGCUGCAUUAUUUGACGUUAGCGACAGAAGAAGCACCGGCUAACUCCGUGCCAGCAGCCGCGGUAAUACGGAGGGUGCGAGCGUUAAUCGGAAUUACUGGGCGUAAAGCGCAUGCAGGUGGUUUGUUAAGUCAGAUGUGAAAGCCCGGGGCUCAACCUCGGAAUUGCAUUUGAAACUGGCAGACUAGAGUACUGUAG